CACAGGAUUCUUGUCUCCUCUGUAAACCAUCAAGUGUUGAUGCUCAUUGUAGUAGCGCGUGAAAGUAAUUAGCGAACCAAGAUCAUAGAGACAGGAGAAACCUACCGUCUGCGCCAGCAAGACCAACGGUUAACCAAGCCAAGCAUCCAAGAAAAGUCAUGAGCGAGAGGUCCUGGGCAGGGGGAUUCAGUUAGCCCAAGAAACAGUGCAGAGCCUCGGACGUGGAGGAAAGGAGGUUUAUCUGACCAAGAAGUGCAUUACCGAGCUGCUGGAGCGCUCGUGCGAAAACUCUCACUGCGCUGUCAGUAAAUACGUCAUGGCUCAGAACCGGCGCAGCAGUCCAUGAGAACAGAGGCGCUUCGGAAUAAAACUCCUCCAGCGAAGGACAGGGAGGGGGCCUCAGACGACGUGCGACACUCCUCGGGCGCGGUGAUAACUACUAACUGUGUUGGUCAUGUUUUGCCACUGUGUAAAUUUGGUGCUGCAAUUUUGUUGCUUUGUCUUGUCCCAAGGGCGCGUUCGAGUUUCCAAAUUGAUGUGUGUCAUUGUACAAAAUUAACAAAACAAACAAAAUUCUUCUCAAAAUAUUUACAAGAGGAUUCUCCAUAAAAAACCUCAUACCAGCGUCCACACUCUCACACACAAUCACACACACACACACACACACACACACACACACACACACACACACUUCCUCAUAGUACUUUAUUGGGUUUUUCACUGUAUUACUGUAUAAAACAAUUGGUAGGCGUUCACAGUAAUACUACGGAAAUAUUUUGGCUAAUUCAUUUUAAUUAUAAAUAAUGAAAUAAUCAUUUUGUGAUUGGAAAGUAAAAAUGCACAGGUUCCUUAGGUUCCUCAAUUACAGCAUAAAACAAACAAACAAAAACAAAUGUACACUUUAAGACUUCACAUCCAUGUUCCUAUAUACAUAGCAUACUGUGUGUGUGUGUGUGUGUGUGUGUGUGUGUGUGUGUGUGUGUGUGUGUGUGUGUGUGUGUGUGUGUGUGUGUGUGUGUGUAUGUGUGUGUGAAUGAGAGAGAAAGAGCAUGUUUUAGUGAGUAAGUGGCAGGAAAGAGGCCAGUACAAGCUGGGUCUGUCUGAAUCCCUUCUGAUAAUAUUUGCUUAAACAGCAGAGCUGUGUGUAUGCUGCAAUGAGGAGAGUUUGUCAUUUAAUCAGUGCUAAGAGACAUACGACACUUGUGUUAUGCAUACACUUUAUUUCAUUCUCUCACUCUCAAUCACACAAGCAAACUCCACACACAUGUGUAUGCAAGCACACACACACACAGCAGUCACCACUCUAAAAUCAUAACGAUUUAUUGUUAUUACAAGUCAUACCAUGUUCAAUGAUUAAUUUAUGUAUUUAUAUCAUGCACAAACUGAAGCUUGUGUAAAAGAAAUCUCUUACAAGUCCUCAGUUUUGCUGUGGUAUCUUUAUUGCGCCCUCUGCUGUUAUACACGGGUGCGGUUGAGCAUGAUAAAGCUCAAUGAAGAUGAGUCUCUAGAUGAGGGGUGCUGAUGUCCGGUUUUGGUGAUCUACCACCCUGCAACGUUUAGUUCCAAUCCUGUUCUAACGCAUUUCAUACAGUUAAUAAAGUCUUUCAGUAGCAUCUUAAAAUCAGGUGUGCUAGAUUAUGGUUUUUAUAUAAAUGUACCAUCACAUACUAGGCCUAUUGUUCAAACCUUAAUGCCACUGUGUGUGUGUCAGAAAUGUGUCAAAAGUUUACAGAAUUAUUUUCUGAUUUGAGAAUACAAUAAUUUGCUGCCAGAAGUUUCGUUAUGAUUUCACAGCAACUUUGCACUGUAUAGUUAGCAUUUCCUGUUAAACAUAUUGAAAAGA